rnacentral:rRNA from 1 species
CAGCCGCCGCGGUAAUACGUAGGUGGCAAGCGUUGUCCGGAAUUAUUGGGCGUAAAGGGCUCGCAGGCGGUUUCUUAAGUCUGAUGCGAAAGCCCCCGGCUCAACCGGGGAGGGUCAUUGGAAACUGGGAAACUUGAGUGCAGAAGAGGAGAGUGGAAUUCCACGUGUAGCGGUGAAAUGCGUAGAGAUGUGGAGGAACACCAGUGGCGAAGGCGACUCUCUGGUCUGUAACUGACGCUGAGGAGCGAAAGCGUGGGGAGCGAACAGGAUUAGAUACCCCCGUAGUCCCUGUCUCUUAUAC